AAGCCAGUUUAUUGUUUUUAAACAUCUGCACCGCACCCUGCCCCCCGCCCCAGUUUUUGGAAAUCAAAGAAACUCAUGGUAACUGACGUCCAAGGAGCAGACUCGAACCUUGAAGGCAGCUGAGCGACUGACUACUAAUGGCCCCCGUAAAGCACUGCCCGGCCUUCACCUAAUGCCUAAUUACUCACCGGCAUGCCUUUGCUCCGCCAGUGUCUGCUUGAACAAUGCAGCCAAACAAGGUGGAACUGUGUCCAUUUAUGGGCAAGUCAAAGACCAAUAAAUAAAAAGUUUAAUUUCCUGAUUCCCUGAAGUCGAUGGGGCUUAGAAAAUACUCCCCAAUCCUUCCAACAAUGUCUCUCAAAACACCGUGUGACCAGCCACCUCGUCUCACAUUUCAUUGCUCAUAAAAAGGAAUCAGAUAACGCUAAGUGAAAAAAAGCAGGACACGAAGUGCACUGUGUUUACAGCUAAGAAACCAUCCGCUUUGGGCUGAGGACUGGAACCCUACAAUCGUUAUCAGACCUUCGUGAUGGGCGCAGGAUCCCGGGAGACGGCUUCCCCUGUUUUCGAAAUUUUCUGCUGUUGUCUUAGUUUUACAGCAACCCCCCAAAUUGAAAGUGAUCAGCAAAAUAAUUAGUGAAUUGUUUACCAGGUGCUAGUACUCAGGACAAGCUCAUCACAUGAGGGCUCCGAUGUGAAGCAAACCAACCGAAAACUGAGAAAUUCAUUCAGGUAUCCUCGGAUUCCGUUUCUUAGCUUUCGUCUGGAGGGCUGUUGACUCCUGAACAGAGCCAGAUCCCGGAAGAUCUCGCCUCUUUCCUUGGAUGAUUCACUCUAUUUGGGACAUCUCCCUUCAUCAUUCUCCCAGACACACUCACGCAGGAAGGAGAGGGGACUUCAGUGCCACAUGCUGGCCAGACGGAGAGCAUGCUAGGGCCCGGUGCAUGAAAGUGAAGGCAGUCACACCUUACUGAAAAAUAAAGCACAGUAUAGGUUCAUUAUUAAAAUGUGUGCAGUCUUCAAGAUGGACCCCAGUGAUCUACGCCUCCUUGUGUUCAUGUUCCCUAACAUACCGCAUCGGGGCUGGUCCCUUGUGGUCAACAGAAUCUGGUGGAGGCGACCCGAUCUGACUUCUGACGCUGGGUCAUAAAAACGUACAGAGCUUCUGCCUGGCAUUCUUUCUCCUGGGGACACUCACCCUUGGAACACAGCCACCAUACUCUGAAGAAGCCCACGGGCCCUCACGAAGAGCCACGCGCAGAAGAAACUCCCCGGCGUCCGGCCAGCCCCAACCCCCCGGACAGCGAACGAGCCUUCAGAUGUUUCCACCCCACGGCCUUUCAACAGUCCCCGCGAAGCCCCGGCCAAAGCAGCCCCUGUCUGAAUUCCUGGCUCACAGGUCGCUUGUUUUGUAUCAUCACAUUUUGGGGGGUCACUCGUGAGGCAGUCCUAGCAGCUGCAACAGGACAGUGAAAUGGAUUGAGCUCCAAUGUCGCCGUCACCAAACGUGAGCACCCCUUGAGGGCUCUACGCCCUAGCGGACGUGGUGUCCAGCAAGGGCUCGUUGGAAGGAAUCGGGACCAUCCGGGGACAGGGCUCUGUGGUGAGUAUACACGGCCAUUCAGGACGCUGGCUGGGGCACCCCAUUUCCGAAAGUCUUGAACGUGCACGGUGGGCGGCCAUACAGACGAAUACCACAAGAGGGCAGGUGUAGAUGCUGAACUAGGGUUUCGUGGACUUCACCUUCUCUCAUACUGCCUUGUUUCCCCCCCUUUUGCAUUUCACUGAUGAUUUUGUUUGAUAUCGACCGCUGCCCACGGAUCAGCUCCAUUUUGAAGAAGUGAAUCUACGUUUCAGAACCCAACCUGAUCCAGGAAGGAGUGCGGUCGGAGAGGCUCCCUAACAGUUAAUUUAACAAUGCCGUAUUUGUAUUUCUUAUAAAAUAUAUUUCUGUAAUGACAACACCUACGAUUUCAUUACGAAGAAAAAUUGAGCUGCUAUUUUUAAAUGUCAGUGGGAUAAACAUUUCCUGACUUUAUAUCACUGCGUGAACGCAGAUGUGCUAUUUACUCAAUCUCAUUUAUUUCAUAAUGGGAUUAAAUAAUGCUUCAUUAUUUCAUAAUGAACAAAGUAAUAUUGUGAUCUCGAAAAAAAAAGAAGCAAUUACACUUACUUUUCCUUCACCUCAGAACCCCUUCCCCCCCUCCAUGCAUUCUGACAUUAAAAUGAACUAAUUUGUUGGGUAAUUUAAAGUCGGCUCAAUUUCUCCGGGAAAGAUGAGGAAACGGGCGUCUCAGACCCUGGGGUUUUUCUGAUUACAAAUCGUCUCCUCAAAACAUUUCUUAUAAACUUCAGGUAGCCUCGCCCCUCAGAGUGCAUCUCACCGGCUAUGCGGACAGUGCUCUUGGCGUCUGGUCAGCACCUGUCUCUGCAGGCUGUUCAACCGCACCUCCGGAGCCCAUAGUGUUGAAUCAUCCAAGGCUGAUCGGCACCCCCUCGCCCCCCGCAGUGUGCCCCUGCGGAGCCACCGGAUGGGGCCACGGAGCUCAGCAGGCUGCCAGUUUGGAUGCAUAAAGUCGCGUGACCCCGGGCACCUCAGCAGCCUCUCUGAACCUCAGCUUUCCCCUCUGUAAGAUGGACCCAUGCUUCUGUUUCUCUCCAGGGGACGCUGCAGGGACUGAGAGAAUGGGCCACAGCUCUGCACCUGGGGACGUGUACAUGCUGCCUGGGACAGCAGACGCGGGGCAGACAGCCAGCUAGUAUUACUUUUUACUGCCCUGCUUUUGGUUCUGUAACAACCUUUAUUGAUUGAUUGAUUAAUUGAUUUAUAAUUUUUUUAAUGUUUAUUUUUGAGAGAAAGAAACAGAGCGUGAGUUGGGGGUACAGACAGAGCGAGAGGGAGACACAGAAUCCGAAGCAGGCUGCCGGCUCCGAGCUGUCAGCACAGAGACCGACACGGGGCUCGAACCCACCAACGGCGAGGUCGUGACCUGAGCCGAAGUCGGACGCUCAACCGACUGAGCCACCCAGGCGCCCCUAUAACAACCUUUACAGAUGACUUUGAAAACAAAGAUGCUAGAAGAGUGCUAUGUCUCUCUUCCUAGCUGUGUGCCACGCAUGACCUCCCUAAAUGCUUCCAGAAGCUUCCUCCGGAACAGGUGCUCCUUUCCGUGCCUCUCUACUGCAUCUGAAGGUCCAGCUAUUAUUCGGGAAAAAUUCCACAUGAAGGAAGCCUUCCCUCCCGUUUUCCCACUCGGCGUUGGCGGAGACGGUCUAUUACAAAAGGCGGCAGUUUCUAAAGCGGCCCAUCUUCCGCUUUCAACUCUGAGUCCACAUGAAGUCCUUUCAAACUCUGCUUCCCCCAAGGUCAAACACCCCAGGUCAGAUGUCUUCAUAGGGUAGAGUUCUACAACGGCACACUUGAACUUUCCCUUCCAGGUGCCAAAUGUUUCUUACCAUUACACGGUCUGAAAUACAUAGUAGUACAAGGUGGUUGUUUCUUUUUUUUUUAAGGCACCAAUAACUUGCAUAACCUUUAACCCAUGGUCAGCAUGAGGAAGCUCUGGACUCUUUAAGGGCACUAACUCCAUCAUGGGGCUCCGCCCUCAUGACCUCCCAAAGGUCUCAUCUCCAAACAGUAUCACGUUGGGGAUUAGGGUUUCAACAUAAGAAUUUGGGGAGGACACAAACAUGCUGUCCUUAACAGUAUCUCAAGAGCCUCCCAUUUCCUGAGAUCGCAACAGGAUGGCGCCCCCUGGAGUUGUACGACGCAGCGACACAUAAUUUUGGCGCUCAAACACUGGUGAAAUAAACGACAUGAUAAAUCAUGACAUUUCUGAUUAAAAAAUUUUAAGUAUUUUUAUUAACCAUUUUUUAUUACCGUUUUAUAAUAAUGCAAAAGGCAAUGCAUAAAUUAAAAAAAUGGCAUUUUCAAUUAAAGACAUGCUUUCAAAGAA